ACACACACACACGUACAUACAAAAACUAUAUACAGUGCAUUCAGAAACCAGAGGCUUCUCCUGUCAGACUGUGAGAAACAAGAUUCUCUGGUCUGAUGAACCAAGAUUGAAAUGUUUGGCCUGAUUUCUGAGCGUCUUAAAACUGUUUGUCCUUGUGGAAGUUUCUCCUGGUUCCACACAGGAUCUCUGCAGCUCAGUGACCAUCAGGCUCUCGGUCGCCUCUGUUACCGAGACUCUUCUCACUUUCAGAGCAGCAGAGUUUGGGUUUUUUUUUUUGAGCCUUCCCCAGAUCUGUGCCUGGAUAUUUUCCUGUCUCUGAGCUCUGCAGCAGUUUCCCUCCACCUCUCUGCUUGGUUUUUGCUGCAAUAUGCAUCGUCAGCUGUCUGUACAGUGUAGACAUGUCCUGUCAACUGUAUUUACCACAGGUGUUUUUUGGGCAACAGAGGAGAUCUGUGAGCUUCAUCAAGCUUUGGCCGACAACACGUCCUCCGACCCGAGCGACCGCGUAGGUCGCCUGUCGCCUACGACCCACAGGAGCGACCCACACACAGGCGUACCGGACCUUCGUCGUCACGGUAAAAAUAAAACGUACAGUUGUAAAAAGAUCAAAGAUGAAAGAAACACCAGCGGCCUCCUGAGUGAAAGUCCUGUGUUUUGUGGACUUUGACUCUUUAUACUACGUCACAUAGCUUCCUUUUUUUGUUCUGAUCACCUCACAGUGAAACUGAACCAUGAGUCAUAACAAGCUGCUUGUACAGACAAACUCCAGGGUCAUUCUUUGACAGGACAGUCUCUUGGCCACACAGGCACUAGUUAGUGGAAAUGAAUCAUUAUUGAUUUCCGUCUUUUCAUGGGGUUUGUUCACAACAAGGAAAAUACAGAACAUCAACAGGCUUCAGUUACAGAUGGACGUACAUGGACGACUGCAGACGGAUUAGUAGCUGUUUGAAUUUAUACUCCGGCCUGGAGGACACACGCCGUACACGCGCAACAAUGACAACACAUCUGGUCUUUCUGUUCUGUUAUAGACGACCCUGGCUUCACUGUCUGGUAUCAGUAUCUGUAAACACUGGGUGGGUCAGAAAGAAACCUGAGGUGCUCCGUACGUCGAACUUAUCCCGAACAACUUCUUGUCCAUAAAACAAGUAGUGCCAUUAUGUAGACCUGAAAAUAACCUGCACCAACAUACAUUCACGUCCUCUAAGCACACGGAGAUGGAAAGAACCUGCGUCUACUUGCUGAAUCAUCUACUGUGUAUUUACAGAAAGAAAAAUAAAUGUGAUUAGAGUGUC